rnacentral:rRNA from 1 species
UAGGCGUCGACCGGCGCACGGGUGAGUAACGCGUAUCCAACCUGCCCACCACUUGGGGAUAACCUUGCGAAAGUAAGACUAAUACCCAAUGAUAUCUCUAGAAGACAUCUGAAGGAGAUUAAAGAUUUAUCGGUGAUGGAUGGGGAUGCGUCUGAUUAGCUUGUUGGCGGGGUAACGGCCCACCAAGGCGACGAUCAGUAGGGGUUCUGAGAGGAAGGUCCCCCACAUUGGAACUGAGACACGGUCCAAACUCCUACGGGAGGCAGCAGUGAGGAAUAUUGGUCAAUGGGCGAGAGCCUGAACCAGCCAAGUAGCGUGCAGGAUGACGGCCCUAUGGGUUGUAAACUGCUUUUAUAAGGGAAUAAAGUGGGAGUCGUGACUCCUUUUGCAUGUACCUUAUGAAUAAGGACCGGCUAAUUCCGUGCCAGCAGCCGCGGUAAUACGGAAGGUCCGGGCGUUAUCCGGAUUUAUUGGGUUUAAAGGGAGCGUAGGCCGGAGAUUAAGCGUGUUGUGAAAUGUAGAUGCUCAACGUCUGCACUGCAGCGCGAACUGGUUUCCUUGAGUACGCACAAAGUGGGCGGAAUUCGUGGUGUAGCGGUGAAAUGCUUAGAUAUCACGAAGAACUCCGAUUGCGAAGGCAGCUCACUGGAGCGCAACUGACGCUGAAGCUCGAAAGUGCGGGUAUCGAACAGGAUUAGAUACCCUGGUAGUCCGCACGGUAAACGAUGGAUGCCCGCUGUUGGUCUGAAUAGGUCAGCGGCCAAGCGAAAGCAUUAAGCAUCCCACCUGGGGAGUACGCUGGCAACGGUGCAACUCAAAGGAAUUGACGG